CCCGGAUAGACAGUCCAGCAGGUAAAAUAAAGCUUGACUAUAAUUUGAUCUCUCAGCAAGUAGUCCGAUUAGAGUCAGUCAGGUAGUGAGUUAGGGCGCUCUUAGCCUUUCUUUGCUUGAUUUCCAUUCUUAUCUCAUCUAUCUUGGAUUUCGCCCCUUGAGAAAAUGGAUUCUCAAAAAGAGUUGACCAGGCCUUGUAGAAGCGAAGAUCGAUGUCCGUCCCAGUCUCAUUCAACUAAUACCGUGGACCGACUCCUUUCAUGCCUCAC
rnacentral:lncRNA from 1 species